rnacentral:rRNA from 1 species
AGCAGUAGCCCGGUAAUACGAAGAGGGCUAGCGUUGCUCGGAAUUACUGGGCGUAAAGGGAGCGUAGGCGGAUCGUUAAGUUGGGGGUGAAAGCCCGGGGCUCAACCUCGGAACUGCCUUCAAUACUGGCGAUCUUGAGUAUGAGAGAGGUGUGUGGAACUCCGAGUGUAGAGGUGAAAUUCGUAGAUAUUCGGAAGAACACCAGUGGCGAAGGCGACACACUGGCUCAUUACUGACGCUGAGGCUCGAAAGCGUGGGGAGCAAACAGGAUUAGAUACCCCUGUAGUCCCUGUCUCUUAUACA